UCCGAGUUGACCCCGGCAGUCUCCUAUGAGUCCCCACCAUCACGUGCUGGCAACAUAGAACGAGGGUUGCGCUCGUUGCGGGACUUAACCCAACAUCUCACGACACGAGCUGACGACAACCAUGCACCACCUGUGAACCAGCCCCAAAGGGGAAGGACUGUUUCCAGCCCGGUCCGGUCCAUGUCAAGCCUUGGUAAGGUGGGGAUGACGUUUACGUGCACUU
rnacentral:misc_RNA from 1 species